UAACAAGUGUUUGGGCUUUUAGGCGUGAGGGGGUCCAAUUUCUUUAGUCUACUUGUUUGUUUUGUUGGUCGAAGAAGAACCCAGAAGCAAUGAGCGUUGAAAAUUGAAUUGAAGGGUUGUUUUAAAGAAGGGAAAUGGGAUUUAGAAAGCGAGAGGUAUGAAAAUGGCAGUGGUGUAUCCUCUGGAACACAUGAUUUGCCCAGGGAAAAAGGGUAACGCUAGAAACAAGAAAAAUUAAAGUAAAAGGGAGGUUGCGAUGUAAUUAUAGGGUUCAAAAGCAAAACCCAGCCCUGCUUCUAUCCUUUUUAGUUUUCGAUUCUCCUCUCUCCUCUCCUUCACGGGUUCACAGAUUCCCUCACGGAAGCUUUUGCAAGCAACCCAAGAGAACCCAGAGCCAGACCCUCUUUCUGUUCUUUCUCCUUUCGCCUCCAUGACUGCAGAGCCAAGCCAAACAACAAAUCGGUCAAGCCAGACAAAUCAUCCUUGCUGUCUACUCUUUUAAUGCUCACAUUCUCUUUUCAGCAAUACCCUUAUCUUUCCCUUUCUCUUCUUUGUUUUUCUUUUGAUUUGAAUCCCAAAUAUGACUAAACUUCAGUGGCAAAUCUUGUAGUUUCUGUGGGAAAUGGAGAAAAGGGGGAGUUAAUUAUCUGAAUUUCAGGCUCAAGGAGGAAACCCCAUCUCGUUUCCUUGUUGUUAUCUUGCUUUCUUCACUUUCGCCAUUUUGAUUAUUGUCUGUAUUCUUCUGGGUGUGCCCAAUGAGGAAGCACGGAUGGCAACUUCCAUAUCAUCCUCUCCAGGUGGUUGCGGUUGCUGUAUUUCUGGCUCUGGGGUUUGCUUUCUAUGUCUUCUUUGCUCCCUUUGUUGGGACGAAGGUUUUUCAGUAUGUCAUGAUUGGCCUAUAUACUCCUCUUAUUACGUGUGUGUUCGGCCUGUAUAUCUGGUGUGCGGCAGCUGACCCUGCAGACUCGGGAGUGUUUAAAUCCAAAAAGUAUGUUGAUAUUCCGGAUGAAGGGAAGUGUUCUCAACAAAAAAGUUCGAAACUCGGUGGGGCAUCGGUGAUAUCCACACGUGAUCCCAACGCCGUCUCUAUGGAAGAAAGAUCUGUCGGUAAAGAUACUACUGGUGGUGCAGAUGCAAAUUCUAAGGACCUACUGCAGAACGAGAAUGAUAGUCCAGCAUCAAAGAAGUUGUCCUGUCUCUCGUUGGCGUGCUUCCCUUGUGCAUAUGUGUGCAAUUGUUUGAGUCCGAAAGAGGAAUCUUCCGAGCAACACAUGAGUGAAGAUGGCAUGUUUUACUGCAGUUUGUGUGAAGUGGAGGUUUUCAAGUACAGCAAGCACUGUAGAGUUUGCGAUAAAUGUGUCGAUCGUUUUGAUCACCAUUGCCGGUGGCUUAACAACUGUAUUGGUCGGAAGAACUAUCGGCAAUUUUUCACCCUCAUGGUUACCUCUCUCCUCCUGCUUAUUGUACAAUGGUCGAGUGGAAUCCUUGUUUUGAUCUGCUGUGUGGUCGAGAAAAAACGUUUCUCUGUGGAGAUCUCCUUGAAGUUAGGUAGCAGUUUUUCUUUGGCACCCUUCAUUGUUGUAGUGGCGGUUUGUACGAUCUUGGCUAUGAUAGCAACACUGCCACUUGCUCAACUCUUCUUUUUUCACAUCCUUCUCAUAAAGAAGGGAAUUACAACAUAUGAUUAUAUCAUAGCUCUAAGGGAGCAGGAGCAAGAGCAACAGGGAGUUGGUGGCCAGCAAAGUCCUCAAAUGUCUGUUGUCAGCUCUUUAACUGGACUAAGCAGUGCGAGCUCGUUCUCUACUCUCCACCGAGGUGCAUGGUGCACUCCGCCACGCUUGUUUCUUGAAGAUCAGUUUGAUGUGAUUCCACCAGAGACGGGGUCUGUUAGUUCUCUUGGAAAGAGGACGGUUAGUGAAGAAGCAACAAAGAAAAAGAACCCUGCGGCUGUGAGGAUCAGCCCAUGGACUCUUGCAAGGCUAAAUGCUGAUGAGGUUUCAAAGGCUGCUGCAGAAGCAAGGAAGAAGUCCAAAAUUCUGCAGCCUGUGGUUAGAUCAGCAACUCCUUUUGAACGAGAAACAGAUAGCGGUUUUGGCAGCAGUAGUCAUCGAAUGGUUUCACGACCUGAAAAUAAUAGAAGGCGAGGGAAUAAACGAGUGCGUCUUCCAGCUGAUCUACCUAUGCAACGCGUGACGAAUAUUCCAGCAAAAGCUGUUGAAAAAGGCUUCUCUGGCACAUCAACCAGCCUUGGUCCUCUUCAGCUUGAAGCACGCAGUGCUUUCCAAACAAGUAGAGCAAUGUCGAGCUCCACCAUGGUCGCCUCUUCUCCAGAGAGCAGUUUGGACUCGCCCGACAUCCAUCCAUUUCGAAUAUCCUCCUCUGGAGCUGAAGAGUCCAAGAGACUCACGGGUUUAUCCGCAGCUAAUGCAGCUGCUGCUCUAAAGGGACUUCCACUGUCAAGGUCAACAAGUGAUGGAUAUGAAGCUUCAGGUGGGGAGGACAGCGAUCGUGUUCCUUCGAGGAUCGUUCAACGACCGACAACCUGGAACAACAUCUUAUAUGGUUCAGAUCAAGACGAGAGGCUUGCCCAACUGCAAGCAUCAUCUUCUAACCAGAUCAACCGAAAACAUACCCCAUUAUGAGCUUUCCGAACAGGUUCAUCCCAAUAUCGUCCCGGUGCAAAGCUGGUAAUUCUUUCAUUCUCCAUCCAAGGAAUUCAAGCAUCAAUCAAACAACCUAUUCUGUAAAGUGAAACACUGUCUUGGCUCUGCAAUCAGAGAAUCAAGACAUCACAGAAGACGAAAAUAGAAAACUCGAGUUAGCUGAUGCCGAUCUCGACAGUCGAAUUUAUUAGUUUAUUGUUCGAAACUCCGGGAUUUGGCUUGGAUUGCCUUUGUGAACUUGUGUUAGUUUCAACGGAUGAAUUCUUGUCAAUUCUGUACCCAUACAUAACCCAUUUGAUGAAAUGGCGACAUUAUACUUUGUCA